GGGGCUGUCAUGGUUUCGACGUGUUGGCGAACACUGCCCCGUGAUACAGGUCGAGAGCGAGUCUUCUCUCGUAAAUACCGGACUCAAAAAAAAAGUAAAUGCGAACAACAUCGUUCCUUUCGCUCGUAAAGCGGCCACUGUUGCUGCCUAAAACCCUCUAGUAUCUAGUAGGUUUGAGCGUCUGUAGUUUGACUCCGUUAAGGACUACAGAUAACCCCAACGGAUGCGUUCUUUAGUUGUCCUCUGGUAGGCUAAAGGGCAAAGAACUCACCAGUGCAUCCUGUCAUCCGGGAUAAUGGAUGGUUCCCGCUCUGAGGGUCAGAAGAGCUAAACCUGUGAAUGAACGGUAAGUUAAUACCCAGGGCGGACGGCAGUUCGAUUCUGCCCAGCUCCAUAC
rnacentral:tmRNA from 1 species